AGUGAACGCUGGCGGUAGGCCUAACACAUGCAAGUCGAACAGCAGCACAGUAAGAGCUUGCUCUUACGGGUGGCGAGUGGCGGACGGGUGAGGAAUACAUCGGAAUCUACUUUUUCGUGGGGGAUAACGUAGGGACACUUACGCUAAUACCGCAUACGACCUACGGGUGAAAGCAGGGGAUCUUCGGACCUUUCGCGAUUGAAUGAGCCGAUGUCGGAUUAGCUAGUUGGCGGGGUAAAGGCCCACCAAGGCGACGAUCCGUAGCUGGUCUGAGAGGAUGAUCAGCCACACUGGAACUGAGACACGGUCCAGACUCCUACGGGAGGCAGCAGUAGGGAAUAUUGGACAAAGGGCGCAAGCCUGAUCCAGCCAUACCGCGUGGGUGAAGAAGGCCUUCGGGUUGUAAAGCCCUUUUGUUGGGAAAGAAAAGCAGCAGGUUAAUACCCCGCUGUUCUGACGGUACCCAAAGAAUAAGCACCGGCUAACUUCGUG
rnacentral:rRNA from 1 species